CUCAGGAAUGACUCACUGCUCCUCCUCUGUUCCUUCCAGACUCUUGGGGGUGUGCUAAUUUAUUGUCAGUCUGUAUCUGCAGUCAAUUAUUCCCCCCAGCUCAGCUCUCCUGUCCAGAAGGAAUUCAGGCACAUUCUGCUCAUUGCUCACCUCUCCAGAGAGGCAAACAGCGUGCCUUGGUUCCCCUGUGCAGCACCACAAACAGCUUCACAAGCACGGAGCAGGGACCACUCCUGUGCCCAGGGCUGGGGAGAGCUGCGGCUGCUGCCAAGGAAAAGUCUUUGCAACUGCUGCCAACUAAUCAGUAUGAAUUAUUUGGUUUUUGAAGUCUUUAAUUGUGCUGGAAAAAAGCCCCUAGGAGGCUUUGAUUUUUGGAAGCAAACCCAUGUGACUGAUCCGAGCGGGAUGAUAAUGGCUACAAGGAUUGGUCCAUUAAGAGCUAUUUUUAACAAUGAAGUCAGAACUGGAAUGUGAAAGUAAAGCUAAGACUAAACUACAAAAAGGUAAAACUCACAUUAUUCUUAAAGAUUAAACUGUCCUGCAGUUAUAAACUAGCUGAAGUUGUUCCUGGUGCCUAUAUCCCAACCUAUAUUAUCCCAAGGUCCUAAACAUCUACAACAAAACCCCGAAUACGGACAGUGCUCCUGCACUGAAUGGUCAAGGUGUGUUGGAGUCCUUCCCAACUUUUUUUCCUGACUUUUUUUGCUUUAGUUCAUUAUUGAUUUGUGCUUCUUUGACCUACAUCUUUAAUUUUGUUCCUGUCUGUGCUUUUGUUAUCAGUUGUCUCCUUUCAUGGCUUAUUCAUCCUCAAGUGUUUUUGGUAACUCCCUGCCUAGUUUCAGCUGUACAGGAUGAUGUUCUGCAUCCAUCUCUCCAUGUGCAACAGGGAGCAGAGCGUGGAUCCUUGAGGUACCCAGUAAACAAAAACCAGAAAUAGAAUCCCAGACUGGUUUGGGUUGGGAGUGAUCUUCAAUCUCAUCCAGUGCCACCCCCUGCCAUGGGGGGACACCUUCCACCAUCC
rnacentral:lncRNA from 1 species